CUUGGCAAGUAUGCAUCCAGAAUAUGUGGUAGGCAGACUUUUAGAAAAUAUUCUUGUAUGAUAAGGGAGGAAAAUAAUUCUUUCAUGGACCUGGUAGACUAGUCUGUAGGACAGCAAGAUCUUGGAUGACAUCAUCAUCAUAAUCAUUUACUUAUUUACUUAUGUACUUACUUACUUACAUACUUGUACCUCACUCAUCUGACUCAGUUGCCCCAGCCACUCUGGGUGGCUUCCAACACAAUAUAAGCACAAGAAAACAUCAGACAUUAAAAGCUUCCUGAAACAUGACAGCCUUCGGAUAUCUAUGGAAGGUCAUAUAAUUGUUUAUCUCUUUGACAUCUGACGGGAGGGCGUUCCGCAGGGCAGGUGCCGCUACCAAGAACGCCCUCUGCCUGGUUCCCUGUAACUUCACUUCUCACAAUUGAGGGAACAGCCAGGAAGCCUUCAGAACUGGUGUCUGGGCUGAGUGAUGGGGGUGGAGAUGCUCCUUCAGGUAUAUCGGCCAUUUAGGGCUUUAAAGGUCAGCACCAACACUUUGAAUUGUGCUCAGAAACAUACUGGGAGCCAGUGUAGGUCUUUUAGGACCAGUGUUAUAUGGUCCCAGCCCCUGCUCCCAGUCACCAGUCUGGCAGCUGCAUUCUGGAAUAAUUGUAGUUUCUGAGUCACCUUCAAAGGUAGCCCCAUGUAGAGCACAUUGCAUUUGUCCAAGUGGGAGAUAACCAGAACAUGUACCACUCUGGUGAGACAGGCAGGUAGGGUCUCAGCUGGCGUACCAGAUGGAGCUGGUAGGCAGCUGCCCUGGAAACAGAACUGACCUGCACUUGGUUCCCCAUCUGUGGAAGCCUCUUCCCAGGGAAACUGGCUAAAAAUACACCAUCAGAGAUGCUUCAGUCAAAUGCAUGCCUUCUUCCAGCAUAGCAAUGGUGAAAUUAAGUACGUAAACUCUGAGGAAGAAGCAGAACAUGCCCACAUUUUAUACUGGAAAUGGGGGAAAAGUUCUUAGUCGUGCUAAAAGGAAGUGGUGCCAAAUCUUCUUGACAUGGCGACAUCCCGUUCUUAGGAGCGAAAUGCAAAAUAGCCCUUAGUCUGCUUAAUGUACUAAAAUUGAAAAGAGCCUAUGAGAGAUGAGACAGGCACCUUAGAAAACAGAAUUUAAAAGGCAAAGCAAUGCAGGGGAAACAAGAGACAAGCUCAUUAAAAGUGUUCUAUGAAAGCUUGGCUCCAGAAAACCCCCGUCUCCAUCCAGUCCUGUCUGCCACCCAGUGUUAGCUGAAAACUUGUGAUGUGUUGGCAAGUGAUCUUUGAGUGAAUCCCAUUGAGCAGUAUUCCGGACUCACUCCAUUCCAUACGCUGGGAAAUUCCCCCUCCCCGCCCAUUGAAAGCAGCCAUUCAUAUGACUCGGGUUUCUCUUUCCUUUCUUUAGAACCAGAAUUCAACAUCAUUAACAAGGAGAUAGGCCUACAUAUGGAGGAAGAAGCAGUUGCCGGGGGGGAGACAAGCAUUUCCUCUGUGUCAGGCUGGUUCUUGAAUGAGUCAGCAAGCAGAGGAUGAACUAGGGUUCCACACCUCCAGCAAGUUCUCAUCAAUGGGAAAUGUCCAGCUUUCAUGCACCGUCUCGAUUCCUUUGUUCCAUGCGACCCCCAUGCCUGGGAUUGCGUGGGUGGCAACAGCCAGAGCCAAGCAUCAGUUAGAUGUGUGGAGGAACCCUCUUGUGGGUUUGCUUCUUGACUUCAGGAGGUUCUGCAUGAGAAAAUUUCCCAACCAUUGUUUUGCUGAGGGAGCUCUGCUGUACCGCAAGUGAGUCUGAAAUGAGUGCAUUGAGAUGCAAAUAAACUUUGCUUUGAAUUUCUUUUUUUUAAACUUUGGACACCCACAGAAAUGAUGUGUGAUGGCUUGGGACUCGGGCUUGGAUUCGGAACCAGAGGAGUCUCAAUCCGCACUUGAUCCUCUGCCUCAGACUGUGAACCGAGUCUGGGGCCUGAUUCUGAAGAGUCCCAGUCUGCACAGGUUCCCCUGCAACAAGUACCAGCUGGGCCGAGACAGGGGCCUGAGCCUUCCCUGGCUCCAGAUGUGGGGAUUACCUCGUUGCCCUCUGCUGGGCAAUCACGUACAGCUGCUCCACUACCAGUUGGGUCAGGAGAGGCUGAGGCGGCUUCUGGGUGUAGUAACCCACCGACAUCUCCCAAGCUGUAGAGACUCAGGUCUGAGAGAAGGAGAGACCUGAGUACUCACACGAGGAGUGCUCGCCUUCGGGCGAAACAGGGAGGUGAGUCAUUGGGGGAUCAGGACUGGCCGUUACCCCAUCAGAGAUAAAAGGCUGCCGGACAUAGAUAUCUCUAUGGUAGCUUUUGUUAUUUGAAUGGUACCAUGGACCUCCUGGGUGGGUUAUAUGGACCGCCUUUGGCCUGUGGACCACCAGUUGGGAACCACUGCCUUAUUGUACUCUUGCUCCCAUACAAGGAUGUUGGAGAAGCAAGGCUGACAGCUCAGAUGGCUGGGUGUUGUGAACAAGUGGUCCCCCAUGUGGAUGCAGCCAUUGCACAGUGAGAGUGUAUGUACCUGUGUGCAUGUACAUAAACAUCAAAUCCAUGGCCGGCAUUAGGAAACUGGGAUAAGAAACAGAUAGAGCACAUUGUCCAGUUGUGUAUAGUAAAGUUUUAAAAAUAAUUAAAUAAAUGAAAGUAGUGUAGAAUAAAGUAAAAUGAGCACCAGCGUUAAAAAAAUUACAGUCAUCGUACAAACUCCAAAGAGGAAGGUUAAAAAAUGUCUAGGGUCAGUUCUUUUUGCUUGCUGGGGCAGAGUUCUUGGACACCCUGAGGGUGAUAGAUGCAAAUUUGAUCUGAGAAAAGUAGGAGGACAUAAAAGACAUCUGAAUUGCCUAUCAAAUUUAAGAAGAUUUAUGCAGAUCUCAAUGAAAGGAGCAGAGGAGACCAAGAGUCACCAACUCAGCCUCUCCAGAGUCACAGGGACACUUGUGUCCAUGGGAAGGUAUUUUUAAAGAUUUUCUUCCCUCUCACACUGUUGAGGGAAGGACAUUUGGGCAUACCAAAGGGAAACCAUAUUUCAUUUGAUUUAUUCAUCCUGCAUUCACACUGUGCUGAAAAAUUCUCUUUUGCUGAGAAAAGAAAAAGUUACAAGGGUCAUCACAAGGUGUUGGUGAAAUUUUCAUGGGUGGGAUGCAAGGGUUUUUGUCAUGCUUAUCUUUCUAGACGACAAUCCCUGCACUCCCAAAAUUCCACAGAAAUCAUCAAGUGCUUUGAGAAUGAGGCAGAGAAAAUGGAAACCUCUUUCCCAGAGGAAGAAGAUUUCUGAGUAAUUGAAGGGCAGACUUUGGCACAGUCCUAUCCAAUAGGGAGCAACCCGCAAGUCCCAGUUCAGACAAGACGCAAAACCAAACCUUGACUUAGCAUGGUACAGCAGGGAGGAGCAAAGUCACUGUGAACGCCUAUUUGGGAGCCUGCCUGUGGCUUGGCCAUUGUUUCAGACUGCCCCAGUGCCC